UUUCUCAGAACUUCUUUACUUACGUAGUGAUGCACUGACCACCAGUUCUUCAUUACAGCUUCUCGUCUUCAGAAUGCCUUCUCUCCCUCAACUCAUUUUCAUUCUCCUGUGUUGUUUCCUGAGACAAACUGUAUCUGAAGGACAGCUACAGAAACCAAAUCUCAGUGUCGAUUAUUCCGAUAUGGAGGUCAACGUGGUCUGUGAAACACAUCAGCGGAAGGGUAAUAAUAUCACCUGUUACUCGUACAGUGGAGAUACAAAGGAUCCAUACAAUACUACGUGGAGCAAAACCGGGGUCUGUCACUUUGAUGCGAAGAUGAGUGAUCUGCAGAGAGUUUUGCAGUCUGUGAGAAGCAGGGAGGUGAGCUGUGACUACACUGUGGGCUUGGACCCACAGUCUCGCUCUCCACGCAGUGACAGUCAGUCCAUAAAAGGUGAGUCACU